rnacentral:rRNA from 1 species
CGCAUCUGUGCAUGCAGUAUAUCAAUAAGCGGAGGAAAAGAAACUAACAAGGAUUCCCUUAGUAACGGCGAGUGAAGCGGGAAGAGCUCAAAUUUGAAAUCUUCAAGGUUUUACCUUGACGAAUUGUAGUUUAAAGAAGGUGUUUUCUGUUGAAGUUUUGGUAAAAGUUCUUUGGAAUAGGACAUCAUAGAGGGUGAGAAUCCCGUAUUUGACCAUUAUUUUCAGCUGUGUGAUACACUUUCAAAGAGUCGGAUUGUUUGGGAAUGCAGUCCAAAAUGGGUGGUAAAUUUCAUCUAAAGCUAAAUAUUGGCGAGAGACCGAUAGCGAACAAGUACCGUGAGGGAAAGAUGAAAAGAACUUUGAAAAGAGAGUUAAACAGUACGUGAAAUUGUCAAAAGGGAAGCGUUUGACACCAGUGUUGUUUUCUCGAAAAUCAAUUAAAAAGAGUUUAGAUUUUGUUGUGUAUUGACCUUAACAGCUUGCAUUUCAAUUUUCUUGCUUUUUUUAAUGCACUUUUCGUUUAACAAGUCAACAUCAGUUUCUUUUGUUGUAAAAAGGUCAUUGGAAGGUGGCUUUCUUUUCGGAGAAAGUGUUUAUAGCCUUUGACUCCUGCAAUCGGAGAGACUGAGGUCUGCAGCGUAGAUCCUUCGGGGUUAGAUACAUUUGUGCUAAGUUAUAGCUUUUUAUAGACAACUUGUUGACUAUGAUUAGUCUUGUAGCUUACUCGCUUAUGCUAUUUUACCUACGCUUAGGAUGUUGACGCGCGUGUGUGCGUG